UUAAUUUAAUAAUAACAAAGAUUAUUCGUAUUUAUCAAUAUUGUCAAAGUUAAUGUACAAUUAAUUACCAUUAGAAAUGUGGAUUUAGGGGAAGAUUAACAGGAGUGCCUUUUUUAAAAUUUUUGAUUUUUAAAAAUCCACAGAAAUUAAAGCAACAUUUUGAAAUUAACUUAAUAAACCAUAAAUGAUUACGUUUGAUAAUUGCCUUCGGGGGCCUUCGCAUACUUAAGUUCGUAUCAAAAUUCGAUAUGAAAAUAAUGAAAACAUUGUGUAAUUAUUUAAGUAAAAGCACACAUAUCGAGCACUCUUAUUUUAACACUUUGUGGGCGGUUGUCACGUAUACGUGACUUUUUUUUGCCAAUUGUUAUCGGUUACUGGUGUCAGUGUUACGGCGAUUUGAGAAAUGUGCGGGCGGAAUAGUAUUAAUUUAUUUUAAUAUAUUCUUCUUGUGAUUAAAAAUGCUGUAGUCAAUGAUAAUAGCGUGACGACAAAGUUAUAAAGAAAAAGGGGAGGAACAUACGAGCUUAUUUAUUCGCUUACUACGAUAGGUGUUAUCUUACAAUUCUAGUACAUUAUAUAUAAUCAACAAGAAGUAGAAUAAAGUAAUAAAAUAUCGUAAUCUUGUAUAUUUCAGAUUUAAGAUUUGUAACAAUUGAGAGGAAUAGAAAAAUAUGAAAACAAGGCAGAAUAAUUUGAAAGUUUCAUUUUUCAUUUUGUUAAUAAAUUGUUGUCAUUUAUUGAUCCGAUCGGAAAAUGUUGAAGAUUAUUCAAGUUAUUCAUAUCGAGUUCGUCCUAAUAUCAUCGUCAUUAUAGCCGAUGAUCUCGGAUGGAACGAUGUGAGUUUUAACGGAGCUGAUCAAAUUCCAACACCAAACAUAGACGCGUUGGCUUACAAUGGCGUAAUUUUAAACAAACAUUAUGUAUUACCUACGUGUACUCCUUCAAGAACAGCUUUCUUAACCGGAUAUCAUCCCAUUAGACAGGGUAUGGAAGGUGUUCCAUUAAAAGCUGGUGAAAAACGUGCAAUACCUAAACGUUACAAAUUGUUACCAGAAUAUCUUAAAGAUUUAGGAUAUUCGACCCAUCUGGUAGGAAAAUGGCAUGUAGGAUAUUACGCGCCACGUUAUACACCAACCAGACGUGGUUUUAACACUUAUUUUGGUUACUACAAUGGUUACAUUCAAUAUUUUAAUCAUACUACCCCGGAAAUCAAAUCUAACAUGCACUUGGGACAUGAUUUACACCGUGACAAACCGAAUAAACUUUCUCCGGAUUUUUCAACCGGUUACAUGACCGAUCUUAUUACCGAGGAAGCGGAAAAAAUUAUUUCCAAUCAUGAUCCGGCUACACCCUUGUAUCUUCAAAUAGCCCAUCUUGCGAUGCACGCUAGUGGUCUUGACAAUGGAGAAGAAUUGCAAGUUAAAGAUAUGAAAAAGGUUAAUGAUACUUUUGGAUACAUCAAGGAUAUUAAUAGAAGAAAAUUAGCUGGUGUGAUCAAUUCUUUGGAUCAAUCUGUUGGUCGUGUGGUCGACGCAUUGAGUAAAGCUGAUUUGUUAAACAAUUCUAUAAUUUUAUACUUCAGUGAUAACGGAGCUCAAACCAUUGGAAUGUUGCAAAAUCAUGGCUCGAAUUAUCCGCUACGUGGGUUGAAGUUCACUACGUACGAAGGAGGUGUUAGAUCAGCUUCUUGUAUUUAUUCACCAUUGAUAAAAAAGCCAUCUACGAUUUCUAAUCAAUUAAUACAUAUAACCGAUUGGUUGCCAACAUUGUAUUCAGCAGCUGGCGGUAAUUUGAAUAAUUUGAAAAAUUUUGAUGGUAUUGAUCAAUGGAAUACAAUAAAAAAAGGUCGAAGGAGUAAACGAAAUAGUAUAUUGUUAAAUAUUGACAAUAAGAUAAAAGAUGAGGCCGCCAUUAUAGGAAACUAUAAGCUGCUCAAAAAUAGUAAUUAUUAUAAUUACGACGGUUAUUUUGGGGAUAACGGUACCGACAGUUCUUAUCCAAAAUACAAAACAUUAGAUGUUAUUUCAUCACUGGCAGGUCGUGCCAUAUCAACUGUUGCGAAAAAAAAAUUGACUUCUGAAAAAAUUCAUGAGCUUCGUCAAAGUACAAAAGUAACUUGUAAACAUCCAAAUAAUUUGAUGGAUUGCACUGAUCAUUGUUUGUUCGAUCUUUCUACCGAUCCAUGUGAAACUACCGAUAUUUCUAAAUAUUAUCCUAAGAUCACUGUUCAUUUACGUAACUACAUCGAUGUUUAUAGAAAAGUUGUCGUUAAUCAAACGUACAAUGGGGUAGAUCCAAGAUCUUAUCCUGAACAUUUUAAUGGUACGUGGAUGCCAUGGAUAAGCGACGAUUUAGAUGACCUAGAAAUGAAUUAUAAGAAAGAAUUUUUGAAAAUAAAUCUAAGUGUAUGAUUUGUUUGUCCAUAAUAAUAUAUCAUUCGUUAUUGCCGAUUAUUUAUUAAAUUGUUGUUGUUCUUAUUAUUUCGUCACGUUUUCAAAAUGUCGAUAAGAAAAUAUCUUGGAUGGCGUGUUUCACGGCUCAUUUAACAAUCACCAACAUUCGAAAGGACAGAGAUAUAUUCUAGUGGGUGGGGUGGAGGGUUGGGUAUACAAAAAAAAAUAUGAAGCGGAUAGACGAUGGAAGCAAAUGCUUUCUUCCAACCCUAUCCCUUCCUACCCCCACCCCCAAUCCCUCAACUUUCUUAGCUUAAAAUGAGCGGGCACCGUUUGGUGAAAAUUUCGAAGUACAGAGAAAAGAAGAUGUGAAAAGAUAAAAAGAGAGAGAGAGAGAGAGAGACAGUGAGAGGGAGAAUGAGAGAGAGUGAGAGGGAGAAUGAGAGAGGGAAAGUCGUUUGUCGUCAUGGUCCAGGAUGCCCAUCAUAGUCGUUGUUGCCAUAGUCAUCAUCCUCCGUGAGGACUCGAAACGCGGAAGGGGAGGAGGAGGAGGAAGGGGGUUCUGCUAAAGGUCUAAGCCGCUUUUAAUAGCCAACCAGCUGUCGCCGGAUCCGCUUGGCCCCUUUUUAUACGAUGUCCGAUGUCCUUUAUAUUAGAAGAGGACGAAUAAUGUCGGAAAAAUAAUCUCGGUCUAACUUAAGAGAGAGAGACCUUUAAAUCGUUUUUAAAAAACGGUCCCAAAAUAACUCACAACUCUUUUCAUUUUUUUCUUUAACCUAACGAUUAUUUUCUCUUAAGGUAUUUCUUUCUGUGUUUCUUCUUUUUCU